AUAUCAAUAAGCGGAGGAAAAGAAACUAACAAGGAUUCCCCUAGUAACUGCGAGUGAAGCGGGAAAAGCUCAAAUUUAAAAUCUGGCGGUUUUGGCCGUCCGAGUUGUAGUCUGGAGAAGUGCUUUCCGCGCCGGACCGUGUACAAGUCUCCUGGAACGGAGCGUCAUAGAGGGUGAGAAUCCCGUCUUUGACACGGACUACCGGUGCUUUGUGAUGCGCUCUCAAAGAGUCGAGUUGUUUGGGAAUGCAGCUCAAAAUGGGUGGUGAAUUCCAUCUAAAGCUAAAUAUUGGCGAGAGACCGAUAGCGAACAAGUACCGUGAGGGAAAGAUGAAAAGCACUUUGGAAAGAGAGUUAAACAGUACGUGAAAUUGCUGAAAGGGAAACGAUUGAAGUCAGUCGCGUCGUCCGGAACUCAGCCUUGCCUCGGCUUGGUGCACUUUCCGGUUGACGGGCCAGCAUCGAUUUUGACCGGCGGAUAAAGGUUCGAGGAAUGUGGCACCCUCGGGUGUGUUAUAGCCUCGGAUUGUAUACGUCGGUUGGGAUCGAGGAACUCAGCUUCGGCUUAGGAUGC
rnacentral:rRNA from 1 species